AGAGUUUGAUCAUGGCUCAGAACGAACGCUGGCGGCAGGCUUAACACAUGCAAGUCGAGCGCCUCGCAAGAGGAGCGGCAGACGGGUGAGUAACGCGUGGGAAUCUACCCAUCUCUACGGAACAACUCCGGGAAACUGGAGCUAAUACCGUAUACGUCCUUCGGGAGAAAGAUUUAUCGGAGAUGGAUGAGCCCGCGUUGGAUUAGCUAGUUGGUGGGGUAAUGGCCUACCAAGGCGACGAUCCAUAGCUGGUCUGAGAGGAUGAUCAGCCACACUGGGACUGAGACACGGCCCAGACUCCUACGGGAGGCAGCAGUGGGGAAUAUUGGACAAUGGGCGAAAGCCUGAUCCAGCCAUGCUGCGUGAGUGAUGAAGGCCCUAGGGUUGUAAAGCUCUUUCAACGGUGAAGAUAAUGACGGUAACCGUAGAAGAAGCCCCGGCUAACUUCGUG
rnacentral:rRNA from 1 species